UAUGUGAUCGUCUCUCGCAUAUCAAUAAGCGGAGGAAAAGAAACUAACAAGGAUUCCCCUAGUAACGGCGAGUGAAGCGGGAAGAGCUCAAAUUUGAAAUCUUAAAGGGUUUCCCUUUACGAAUUGUAGUUUAAAGAAGUGUUUUCUGUUGAGGUUUUGGUAAAAGUUCUUUGGAAUAGGACAUCAUAGAGGGUGAGAAUCCCGUAUUUGACCUUUACUUUCAACUUUGUGAUACACUUUCAAAGAGUCGGAUUGUUUGGGAAUGCAGUCCAAAAUGGGUGGUAAAUUUCAUCUAAAGCUAAAUAUUGGCGAGAGACCGGUAGCGAACAAGUACCGUGAGGGAAAGAUGAAAAGAACUUUGAAAAGAGAGUUAAACAGUACGUGAAAUUGUCAAAAGGGAAGCGUUUGACACCAGUGUUGUUUUUCUGAAAAUCAAUUAAAGAACUGUUUAUGCUAAGUUGUUUAGACUUUAUCAGCUAACUGUUUAGUUUUGAGCUUUUCUUUAAUGCACUUUUCAGUUAACAAGUCAACAUCAAUUUCUUUUGCUGUAAAAAAGCUUGAGGAAGGUGGCUUGAGAUUCGUCUUAAGUGUUUAUAGCCUCUUGCCUAUGCAGUCGGAGAGAUUGAGGUCUGCAGCGUAGAUCCUUCGGGGCUAAAUGCAUUUGUGCUAAGUUAUAGCAUUUUAUAGACAACUUGUUGACUAUGAUUUGUCUUGUAGCUUACUCGCUUAUGUUAUUUUACCUACGCUUAGGAUGUUGAUAUGCAUGACUGAUAU
rnacentral:rRNA from 1 species